GGGGUGACUGUCACUAGUCACCCCAUCCCUCUCUCUGUCACUAGUUACUCCCUCCCUAACUCUGUCAUUGUGAAGGAAGGAAGGGGUGACUGGUGACAGAGUGAGGGAAGGGAUGACUAGUGGCAGAGUGGGUGACCAGUGACAGAGGGAGGGGGUGACACAGUGAGGGAGGUGGUGACUAGUGACAGAGUGAGGGAGGUGGUGACUGUCACUAGUCAUCACCUCCCUCACUCUGUCCCUAGUCACCCCUCCCUCUGUCACUAGUCACCCCCUUCCUCACUCUGUCACUAGUCACCCCUUCCCUCCCUAACGCUGUCAACUAGUCACCACUUCCCUCCCUCACUCUGUCACUAGUCACACCCUCCCUCACUGUCACUAGAGUGA